CAAAUCUAUUGAUACCACACUGUCAGGUAUUCUGCAAAUGACGUAGGAGUCAGGGAACUCCCAAUCAAGUCAGUCAAGUUCCAAAACUUAGGUUCCAGAAGCAUUCAGGGCACUCCAUAAGCCUCUCUCUCUGGUAUCACCUCUCGACAUUGAUCUUACUGGAAGUGAGAAAGAGAGUCGGCAAUACAUUAGACACACCUGGCAAAUAUUACAUUCCAAGCAAUGUAG